GUUGUAGCUGUGUUAGUUCAUGGUGUCUGGUACUUCUCCUGUAAGACUGACGAGAAAAACAUCAAGCUGCAAACUUGUACUAUUAAUGGAUGAAGCAGAAAAAGCCAAAAGAGCUGAGAGGAUGAACGCAUCAAAGAUUUGUGGUUAUACGUUGUUAUUGGCUAUAGUUGUAGCGGCUUUCUUCACGUCGUGGAGUGGAUGGAGACGAUUCUUUGAAAAAGAAAAAAAUGGGCAUUUACAGCAGGAAAAGUUUGUACUACUAAGUGGUUUUGGAAGAGGAGGAAAAAAAUCCUGGAAGAUCUUUUGAGAAAAGCAGUGAAUGAGAACUUGUUUAGGGAAAUCACAAAGAACAUAAAUAAACAGGACUGGGACGGCUGUUUAAAUGCUGCUCAAGAAAUGAUUAAUUAAGCAAAACUACAGCAAACAACUGCAACGAAGGAGGACAACACGGGGAUGAGCGAGGGAAAUGUCAAAGGAGGGGAACAGGCUCAACAAGGACCCGCAAGUCACCAGGCACAAAAUCUUGAGCUUCAGUCAUUGAGAGAAGAGAAUAAAGAAACCACACCACCGUUUGACUAAACCGACUGAAGAAAGGGGGAAAAAAAAUCAAGUAAUUCAACUACAGAAGCAACGCAAGUCACAUAAUCACAGAAAUCAUAUUGUACUAUAAAUUGUGAUUGCUUUGUCUUUCAGACUGCAUAAAGCACCUUAUCUUUGCUGUUUGUAAUGACAGAGUCACAAAAACAUUUCUAUGAGGUUUUAAAGUCUCUGUGGCUUUCAGUUUAAUACACAUCUUACUCAAGUGCUAAAAAGCAAUGAUAAUAAUCAAGCAUAAUGCCUUUGCUUUAACUCUUUCCUCCAUAAAGGUGACAUUUGAAAACCUGCCCUGUACCCUGUACGAGUUUUGACACCUCAGUAUAUAUCUAUGUGAGGUUUGAUGUUUAUACUUGGUUUGAUGACCAUUAUGAUUGGUUCAGAUUUUUCCGAGGGUAUCCCCAGUAACCUGACCACCUUCGCUUCUAAACCUUCUGAUGCACACUCAGUCAUGUUAUUGUGGAAGCAGGACAGAAAUAUGACAGAAACCCACAGUUCAGAAAAGAGAAAAAAGGGUUAAGAGUACAAACUCUUUAUUGUUAACUUAGUACUUAAUUAUUCACUGUACAAUAUAAUCUGAAUCUUGUACUUCUAAUAUUAGAUUAAUAAGAGGUCUGAAGAUAUCCUGCUCUUGACUAUGAUACUACUAGAAAAUAUGAUAAAACGUAGUGUGAGUUUUGAAAGUCUGCUCAUAUGCCUCUGUGUGAAUAUUGUUUUAUAUUAUUUUUUUAAUAACCUAAAGACAACGAAUGUUCAAAUAAACUGUUUCUGCUCUUAAUUUA